UUUUCAUGCCUGUGACGAGAUGUCCAUGGGGAUCCAUCCCAAUUUGAAUUGAAACUUCAUGUCACCUCGUUGUGGUCAAUUUACUAAAUAUUAACUGGGUUGUUGACUGUUGGUGCUGCUGACUCGCUGAUGGCUUUCGGACAUGCUGCAGACGUUUAGAUGCUGAUUCUUGGAGAUGCUGCUGGUGGAGCAUUGGGCGGUGAAGAGGCUGGCCAAUCGCAGAUAUCGGCCUGAGUGGAGGAAUGCCGCCCUAAAUUGUCGGGGUUGAAGCCUAUGGAUGACAUGCUACUGGGCCCAUGACUCCUUGGCGUCUCUGCCUCGCCGUCAGCUGAUGUAGCAGUGCCUGAUGGGAUGGCGUUAAACCUAGCUCCGCAGUGCAGGCUGGAUGCUUGGCUGAAUCAGACUAGGCGCUGGGACAGCAAAUAAUAGCAGUGUUGGUGGGAAUGCGAGCAGCCGCAGUAAUAUCUACCACCCAGCAAUGGUCGGCAUAGUUCCGCCUGGUGGACAGACGACAGAUCAAUUCAGUCGGUUAUUUGAUCCCUCCAGCCAGGCUCAGCCUAGCAGCCGAGACAAUAGAACAAUGGAGUGACUGUCUUAUUUGCGUCCAUCAGCAGUUUUCUUUCUCACGACUAUUUUGA